UACGUAGGGGGCUAGCGUUGUCCGGAAUCAUUGGGCGUAAAGAGCGCGUAGGCGGCCAGGCAAGUCCGGUGUGAAAGUCACAGGCUCAACAUGUGAAUGCCGCUGGAAACUGUCUGGCUAGAGUCCGGAAGGGGCGAGUGGAAUUCCUGGUGUAGCGGUGAAAUGCGCAGAUAUCAGGAGGAACACCUAUGGCGAAGGCAGCUCGCUGGGACGGUACUGACGCUGAGGCGCGAAAGCGUGGGGAGCGAACAGG
rnacentral:rRNA from 1 species